UCAUCUGUUUUAGACACUGACACGGAAGAGGGCCACACGCCUUCCUCCAACAAUAUCAUCUACUACAAUGAAGAACUGCUGCAUAAGACUAUCCUGUUAGG